rnacentral:RNase_P_RNA from 1 species
UGAGUUGGCCGGGUGACCGCGACACACGAAAGCGUGUCGAGGAAAGUCGGGACUCCUCAGGGCAAAGUGCUGGCGCGAGCCAGGUGGGGGCGACCUCACGGAAAGUGCAACAGAAAACAAACCGCCGUCGGGGGCAACUUCGGCGGUAAGGGUGAAACGGUGCGGUAAGAGCGCACCA